AACGCACCUUGCGCCCUCUGGUAUUCCGGAGGGCAUGCCUGUUUGAGUGUCAUGAAGACUUCAACCCCUCGGGUUUUUCCCGGGGAGGCUGGACUUGGGCGCUGCCAUUCGCUUGGCUCGCCUCAAAUGCGUCAGUGGUGAUCAGACCAAUGACCGGAGUAAUAAGUUUCUCUGGCCUGUCGGUCGACGAUGGCUGCUCAUAACCCGCCCUCGGGCAUCUAUGACUCUGACCUCAAAUCAGGUAGGACUACCCGCUGAACUUAA
rnacentral:misc_RNA from 1 species